UACGGGGGGGGCAAGCGUUGUUCGGAAUUACUGGGCGUAAAGGGCUCGUAGGUGGCCAACUAAGUCAGACGUGAAAUCCCUCGGCUUAACCGGGGAACUGCGUCUGAUACUGGAUGGCUUGAGUUCGGGAGAGGGAUGCGGAAUUCCAGGUGUAGCGGUGAAAUGCGUAGAUAUCUGGAGGAGCACCGGUGGCGAAGGCGGCAUCCUGGACCGACACUGACGCUGAGGAGCGAAAGCCAGGGGAGCAAACGGG
rnacentral:rRNA from 1 species